AACAACCAGAGCCAUAAAGGAAAGAGAAAUCUGGCUUCCCUGGAGUUCAAAAUAAACGCAGCGAAGCCAAGUACCCCCGCACGCCCUCGCGCACACCCCGCGGGGAGCCAACGCCUUCUUACGCACAAGCGCAGAGGCUUGUGGGCAGUGCCAGCGCUCAGAAAGAUUGUUCCUGUUCUUUGGCUUAUUGGAGAAGCUACUAUUUGUUUUCAAAUUAUUUUGUACAAUAUGACUUCAGUGAUUGCUGCUGCAGGAGUCUCGGGUCACAGACACGCUCAACCACCAACCUCUCUCUUUGAGUUAACCUGGCCAGCAAUGGAGCGUCCACUUCAGCACCACUUAUUAUCCAAAGUGAGGAUUUUAAAAGUGUUGGAGCUGGACAAACACACGCCUGCUCUGCAGCAUGAACGAUUUCUCCAGAAGUACUUCUCCCCAUGGCUCACUGUCAUGGAACCACAAUGGCCACCCUGCACAGAGGGGCUUGAAGGAAAUAGCUCCUAAGAUGGAGACAAAAAAGCGUUGAGUACCAUAUAUGAGGUU
rnacentral:lncRNA from 1 species